AACGAACGCUGGCGGCACGCCUAACGCAUGCAAGUCGAACGCAUGGCAGCGAUUUCGGGCGUGGAGGACGGGUGAGUAACGCGUGGGUACCUGCCUUGAGGUAUGGGACAACUUCGGGAAACCGGCGCGAAUACCAUAUGAUGCGCCUCGCAAGGUGAGCUAAAGAUUGAUCGCCGUGAGAGGGGCACGCGUCGGAUUAGGUGGUUGGUGGGGUAUCGGCCUACGAAGCUUUCGAUCCGUGGCUGGUCUGGGAGGAUGGCCCGCCACACUGGGACUGAGAAUCGGCCCAGACUCCUAGGGGAGGCAGCAGUGGGGAAUCUUGGACAAUGGAGGCAACCCUGAUCCAGCGAUGCCGCGUGGGUGAUGAAGGCCUUCGGGUUGUAAAGCCCUUUCGGCGGGGAAGAUAGUGACGGUACCCGCAGAAGAAGCCUCUGCUAACUCCGUGCCAGCAGCCGCGGUAACAC
rnacentral:rRNA from 1 species